rnacentral:snRNA from 1 species
AAUACUGAUUACGCGAAAUAUAAU